UAAAAGAUAGACUAUUUAAAGUCAUUAGAUUCAUAAUCUAAAAAUAUAUUAAAUUAUUCUUUUAA
rnacentral:tRNA from 1 species